rnacentral:rRNA from 1 species
GACGAACGCUGGCGGCGUGCUUAACACAUGCAAGUCGAACGGUGAAGCGCCUUCCUUUUUGGUGGGUGUGGAUGAGUGGCGAACGGGUGAGUAACACGUGAGUAACCUGCCCCCUUCUUCUGGAUAACCGCAUGAAAGUGUGGCUAAUACGGGAUAUUCUGGGUCUGUCGCAUGAUGGGUCUGGGAAAGAUAUUGUUUCGGUGGGGGAUGGGCUCGCGGCCUAUCAGCUUGUUGGUGGGGUGAUGGCCUACCAAGGCGGUGACGGGUAGCCGGCCUGAGAGGGUGGACGGUCACACUGGGACUGAGACACGGACCAGACUACUACGGGAGGCAGCAGUGGGGAAGAUUGAACAAUGGGCGAAAGCCUGAUGCAGCGACGCCGGGUGAGGAAUGGAGGCCUUCGGGUUGUGAACCUCUUUCGCCAGUGAAGCAGGCCUGCCUCGUUUGUGGGUGGGUUGACGGUAGCUGGAUAAGAAGCGCCGGCUAACUACGU